rnacentral:rRNA from 1 species
AGUGAACGCUGGCGGUAGGCCUAACACAUGCAAGUCGGACGGCAGCACAGUAAGAGCUUGCUCUUACGGGUGGCGAGUGGCGGACGGGUGAGGAAUACAUCGGAAUCUACUUUUUCGUGGGGGAUAACGUAGGGAAACUUACGCUAAUACCGCAUACGACUUACGGGUGAAAGCAGGGGAUCUUCGGACCUUGCGCGAUUGAAUGAGCCGAUGUCGGAUUAGCUAGUUGGCGGGGUAAAGGCCCACCAAGGCGACGAUCCGUAGCUGGUCUGAGAGGAUGAUCAGCCACACUGGAACUGAGACACGGUCCAGACUCCUACGGGAGGCAGCAGUGGGGAAUAUUGGACAAUGGGCGCAAGCCUGAUCCAGCCAUACCGCGUGGGUGAAGAAGGCCUUCGGGUUGUAAAGCCCUUUUGUUGGGAAAGAAAAGCAGCAGGUUAAUACCCCACUGUUCUGACGGUACCCAAAGAAUAAGCACCGGCUAACUUCGUG